rnacentral:rRNA from 1 species
UGGGGAAUAUUGCACAAUGGGGGAAACCCUGAUGCAGCGACGCCGCGUGAGCGAAGAAGGUUUUCGAAUCGUAAAGCUCUGUCCUAUGAGAAGAUAAUGACGGUAUCAUAGGAGGAAGCCCCGGCUAAAUACGUGCCAGCAGCUGCGGUAAUACGUAUGGGGCGAGCGUUGUCCGGAAUUAUUGGGCGUAAAGGGUACGUAGGCGGUCUAUUAAGUCAGGUGUGAAAGCGUGAGGCUUAACCUCAUUAAGCACUUGAAACUGAUAGACUUGAGUGAAGGAGAGGAAAGUGGAAUUCCUAGUGUAGCGGUGAAAUGCGUAGAUAUUAGGAGGAAUACCGGUGGCGAAGGCGACUUUCUGGACUUUUACUGACGCUCAGGUACGAAAGCGUGGGGAGCAAACAGG